UUGAGGAGCUUGGAGACAGAAUUUCUCUAUCAACAGAAUAAGUAAAGUUUGAGGCAACAGCAGUACAAGGUUGUCCACACACUACUGCCCAUCUGCCUCAACCCUGACCUGGAGAAAGAAGCUUAAGGAGAAAAGUUCGGUCUUCAUGACUGUUCAGUCAUUGGUCUCA
rnacentral:sRNA from 1 species